AGACUUGGCCUUCUUCAGUGACGCUGUGAACGUGUAUGGAUAACCUCUGAGGGUGAGAGGAGAUCACGGAGGAGAAAAUGUGGGCAUAGCUGAGUUGAUGCUCACAUACGUAGAACUGACACAAACAGCUUCAUUGCAGCAAAAGUGUACACACAAUCAACGGAUUGAGCCCCUCUGGUGUGACGUCUUCAUGAGUGUUACUGGUUUAUAUUACAACAUCCUGCACUCUCCUGAGGACCAAGACUUGCUCAAUAUCAGUAACAUCACGUAUUCUGCUGCCACUAUAUUUU